GAGAACAAGUGCAAAAUUCUGCACCACAAUGCUGCUGAUACAACAUACAAGACAGUUUCAAGCUACUCAGAAUCUAUUAAAAACAUAAUAAUAAUUAAAUGCAAAUAAUAAAUUUCCAUUUAACGAAUAUAAAUAAGGAAAUGGGAAAACUUUAAAGGUACAGUGUUUUAUAUAUUCCUGCUAGAUCUCAGUAGAUUGAUCAGUUGCAGUCAAUUGAAUUCUGUUUUCUUACCCCUUCCAGUUUAAGUGCAUACUCCUAGCUAUGGUGGCCAAUGCAGUGAGAGCUCUGGCUGCUGUUCAUCUAUAGUCAGUGUAGUCUGUCAGUCCGCUGUGUACCUCAGCUGUCAAUGUGUGUCGUGUCUAUUUACUCUGGAGGAUGCUAUAAAACUUUGUGAAAAGAGUCGAUGAGUCAGUGAAGCUCACUUCAUCCUGAUGGCAGCGAUACUGAGGAUAAAGACUGAAUUACACAGCAGAACAAUCCUGGAUAGCAGAGGCAGAGAUUACCCUCCCUGAUCUUUCUACAGACAAGAAAUUCCGUGCAAGAAGUUCAGUGAAAAACCCUCCCUGAGGGCCUUGCCACCUCAGUACUGACAGACUGCGCAUUAGCAUGCAUCAGAGAAGAGAAAGAAAACGGUUUUAUCCUUUUUGACCCACCACUUGACUUGAGAUAGAGAGGAAUCUAGUGAGCCAGUGCAGUGGAUGUUAGGCUUGUCACCACACUGAUCUGUACUCGGGGAAAAAAAAGAACGAAAGACGAGAAGCAAGGUUCUGCAUACUACCGUGUCGGAGGUAUAUGGCUCUAGAGCCAACAGAUUCAACAAGGUGCUGGAAACAAUCCUCAGAGAUUUUGGCCCAUGUUGACUUGAUAACGUCACACAGUUGCUGCAAAUUUGUCAGAUGCCUGUUCAUGAUAGCAGUCUCCUGAAACAUCCAUCAGAAGGUUGAUGCAGUGUAGGAUGGACUUGGUCGGUAACAACACUCAGGUAGGCUGUGUUGUGUAAAGGAUGCUCAGUUAAUACUAAGGGGCUGAAAGUGUGCACAGAAUUUGUCCAACACCCUAUUACACCACCAGCAGCUGCCUGAACCUUUGAUCCGAGGCAGGAUGUAUCCAUGCUUUCAUGUUGUUUGCACCAAACUUUGACCCUACCAUCGGAAUGUGACAACAGACAUUGAAACUCAUACCUGGUAAGAUUUUUACAAUCUGUGAUCCAACUUUUGUUAAGUCCAUGUGAGUUGUAACCUCAGUUUCGUGUUCUUAGCUGAUGGGAACUGCACCCGGUGUAAUCUAUCUGCUUAAAGAUUCAACCAGUUGUGCAGAGAUGCUCUUCUCCUUGCCUUUGUUAUAAUAUAAAGAAAUUCCUCUCAGCUCAAAGCAGUCUGAAUUCCCCUCCAACAAGAAAUAUUUUGCCCACAAAACCGCUGCUAUUUGAUGUUUUCUCUUGUGUGGACCAUUUCCUUUAAACCCUAGAGGUGGCUGUGUGGGUAAAUCAUAUGGUUAAU